CAGGAAUGUGCCAUAAAGAUACAAGGUUUUGGCAUUGUGACCUGCAGCUGCUAUCCACAUCCUUGUCCAUGUCUCCUGGUGAAUAUGUGCUCCCUGGGGCUGACGUUCUAGCCCUGGGAGCUGACCUUACUUUGUGCUAAUGAGAUUUCUACCCAUCUGUGACCAUAAAGGGAAAGCUGAUAAAGACCCUGGAGUUUGGGAAUCUGAAGCGGUGGAUCUUAUUGUCAUGGAUUGGUUCCUAUUCAUGACAAAUUCAUAUUGCAAAGGACCGAAAACCCAGCAGUUUUCUUAAAC
rnacentral:lncRNA from 1 species